rnacentral:tRNA from 1 species
AUUUAAGUAGCUUAAACUAAGAGUACGGGCCUGAAGAUCCCGAGGUGGCUUAACCCCUUAAAUA